CAAGAAAUGUUUGCCUUUUCAAAGAUUUGUCACAGUUGGUUUCUGCUGUUCCUGCAUGAAUCACACUGGUUCAUCUGUUACAACUUAGAAGGUUCUGGCCAGUGGUCAACAUAAACGGAAGUGAUAAAUGUGCAGUUGGCUCAUAUGAGAGACCAAGUAGACUGGUUUAUGGAAUAACAGGGAAGAUUUACGUUGGUAAGGCAGUGGUGCAUGUGGGAAUUUCAGUAGUUGUGGAGGUGAGACACAGACGAAUUAGAAUGAGAGGUUAGACCCACCUAUUGAGCUAAGAGAAGAAAAAUAGAGAACCACUGAACCAAGGUCAUAGCUGAACAGGGGCAACUUGAAUCACUGAAGGUUUCAGGUCACUACUAGCCUGGUUGCCCCAGGUUUGCCCAGUGAACACCUGAGGGCUUUCUACACUGGGCAGCUUCUGCUGUGAAAUACAUAACAACUCCCUCUCUUUUCCCUAUAGGACUCUCAUAAGCCAGUGAGGUAACAGGUGACAAAAAGAGCUUACAGAAAUCUUGGUGAUGUACUACACAGCAAGAAAAAAAAUUUAUGUUUUUUAAAAAGAUAAUUCCUACCAUUGCUCUGUUGAGAUGUCAUAUAAUUGAGGAAAACUCAUGUUAGUGAUGGAACUAAAAAGAAUCAGCUAACAAUCAAUUACCCUGGGUUGUGCUUCUCUGUAUCCAGUGCCUCUCACCUUCAAUUUUUCCCCACCAGCGUGGAGAAUGUGGGUGCAAAUGCCAGAGAUGUCAGGAGCAAGAGUGGCCCCGGGAAUGGAGAAGAGGCACCAGUGAGGGAUACCCCUUUAAGAAGAUAUCUAGGAGCCAAAACCAGAACAUGGACCUCAAAAGCAGAGCAAUACAUGUAUGAAAUAACGUCAAAGCAACCCCAGGGACACAGCACCCAGACGUAGGUCUGAAUGAUGUGGGCUGGCAUUUUAGUGCCUUGCAAGGAUGAAGACCAUGACUGAGGGCUCACACCUGUGAAGUAGCUGGAACCAAGACCCGUGCCAACAACAGAAUCCUGGAAAUGCUGUCCCCUUUGUGGCAAGAGCAUCAGACAGACCAUAUCUGUGGCCUAAGGAAGUCUGUGCCUUGAACACUUUGUGCAUGAGAAGUAAUUUCCUUUGAGAAAUUCAAAACCCAUGGGGGUGGCGGGGUGGGGUAGGGGGGAAACCCACAUGAACGUGUAAGAUCUGUAUUUGUACUGUCCAUGUACAAAGAGAAAACCAAGCCCAGAUACUAAUAUAAAAAUGGAUCUUGAAUGGGA